rnacentral:rRNA from 1 species
UACGUAGGGGGCGAGCGUUGUCCGGAUUUAUUGGGCGUAAAGAGUGUGUAGGCGGUGCUCUAAGUCUGUUGUGAAAUCUCCCGGCUUAACCGGGAGGGUGCGGCGGAAACUGCAGAGCUUGAGUGCCGGAGAGGGUGGCGGAAUUCCCCAAGUAGAGGUGAAAUUCGUAGAUAUGGGGAGGAACACCGGUGGCGAAGGCGGCUCUCUGGGACGGUACUGACGCUGAGACGCGAAAGCGUGGGGAGCGAACAGG